UACGUAGGUGGCGAGCGUUGUCCGGAUUUACUGGGCGUAAAGGGAGCGUAGGCGGGCUUUUAAGUGAGAUGUGAAAUACUCGGGCUCAACUUGAGUGCUGCAUUUCAAACUGGAAGUCUAGAGUGCAGGAGAGGAGAAUGGAAUUCCUAGUGUAGCGGUGAAAUGCGUAGAGAUUAGGAAGAACACCAGUGGCGAAGGCGAUUCUCUAGACUGUAACUGACGCUGAGGCUCGAAAGCGUGGGGAGCAAACAGG
rnacentral:rRNA from 1 species